UACGGAGGGUGCAAGUGUUAUCCGGAAUCACUGGGCGUAAAGCGUCUGCAGGUGGUUUCCUAAGUCCACUGUUAAACCUUGAGGCUCAACCUCAAUUCUGCAUUGGAAACUAGGAGACUUGAGUAUAGUAGGGGUAGAGGGAAUUUCCAGUGGAGCGGUGAAAUGCGUAGAUAUUGGAAAGAACACCGAUGGCGAAGGCACUCUACUGGGCUAUUACUGACACUCAGAGACGAAAGCUAGGGGAGCAAAUGGG
rnacentral:rRNA from 1 species